rnacentral:rRNA from 1 species
CAGGAUGAACGCUGGCGGCGCGCCUAACACAUGCAAGUCGAACGGCACCUGCCCUCGGGGCAGAAGCGAGUGGCGAACGGCUGAGUAACACGUGGAGAACCUGCCCCCUCCCCCGGGAUAGCCGCCCGAAAGGACGGGGUAAUACCGGAUACCCCGGGGUGCCGCAUGGCACCCCGGCUAAAGCCCCGACGGGAGGGGAUGGCUCCGCGGCCCCAUCAGGUAGACGGCGGGGUGACGGCCCACCGUGCCGACAACGGGUAGCCGGGUUGAGAGACCGACCGGCCAGAUUGGGACUGAGACACGGCCCAGACUCCUACGGGAGGCAGCAGUGGGGAAUCUUGCGCAAUGGGGGGAACCCUGACGCAGCGACGCCGCGUGCGGGACGGAGGCCUUCGGGUCGUAAACCGCUUUCAGCAGGGAAGAGUCAAGACUGUACCUGCAGAAGAAGCCCCGGCUAACUACGUGCCAGCAGCCGCGGUAAUA